rnacentral:rRNA from 1 species
AUUGAACGCUGGCGGCAGGCCUAACACAUGCAAGUCGAGCGCGAAAGUUCUUCGGAAUGAGUAAAGCGGCGGACGGGUGAGUAAUACAUGGGAAUCUGCCUGGUAGUGGGGGGCAACGUUUCGAAAGGAACGCUAAUACCGCAUACGCCCUACGGGGGAAAGGGGGGGAUCUUCGGACCUCUCGCUAUCAGAUGAGCCCA